CAGCCGCCGCGGGAACACGAAGGGGGCUAGCGUUGUUCGGAAUUACUGGGCGUAAAGCGCACGUAGGCGGACAUUUAAGUCAGGGGUGAAAUCCCGGGGCUCAACCCCGGAACUGCCUUUGAUACUGGGUGUCUAGAGUAUGGAAGAGGUGAGUGGAAUUCCGAGUGUAGAGGUGAAAUUCGUAGAUAUUCGGAGGAACACCAGUGGCGAAGGCGGCUCACUGGUCCAUUACUGACGCUGAGGUGCGAAAGCGUGGGGAGCAAACAGGAUUAGAUACCCCCGUAGUCCCUGUCUCUUAUAC
rnacentral:rRNA from 1 species